AAGUGAAACUUUCAAUCAACUUAACGUCAUUGUCUGACGUUAAUACUUCAGGGCCCUGAUAGCCACCCUAACUAUAAAUUAACUACAAGCUACUGCCGUAUUUUAAAAGUAACUUAAAGGCAAGUGUUGGAAGAAAGCAGUUACCUUUAAGUCGACAGUACAUUGUCCGCAACUUUCUAUUCAAUUUGACUACAAGUAUUAAGCCAUUGCUCUACAACACUACGUAGAGCAAUGGCUGGCUAUCAGGGUGGUUAUCAGGGAAACUUUUACGAAAAAAAAACAGUCGAUAAUGUUUAUUCUUACCAUUUCAGAAAGUGAGCAAAUUUAUACACAAAAUUGUCUACAAUUUGAGGUCAACUUUUGAAGUAAAUUUGCAUUCUAAUUCGGACAGUAACUUUACUUUAAAUUCAAUGGCAAGUUGCAUACUAAUUGUCAUAAAAAAUGGAAAAGUCCGAAAUUGACGGAAAUUCGACAGAAAAUUCAAUGAAACUUUUAUACCGUAAAGUUUUGCUCAAGCAAACUGUGCUAUUAGGGGUGUUAUUAGCCUAUUAGCUAAAGUUUGUAACUGGGAUUAUUCACAUAGGAAACAAAAAAAAAGUAGAGUUCUUGAUGUCUUCGAAGUAUCAUAACAAGUACCUUUUACUUUAAGAAAUUUAACAGUUGAUUAUGUUUAUUAUCGCUUGAGAAGAUGUUAUAUAUAAGUAAAAAUAAAAUAGUUUUAGUAUUAUGGACAUUGAGCUUCUAUUUUGUAAUAAUUUCCUUAUGUGAAAUUUGUUUUGAUUAAUUUUGACAGGAUUAACUAAGAACUAAAUGCUAACGCAUGAACAACCUUAUAAGUGUAGGAGAUUAAAGUUAUAAUGUUUAGAAAUGAUGUAUUGUCAUCCCACCAAGAGAAUGCACCUCGGGUGUCGUCAGUUUUUACUCCCACCCUAGAUGUUUUAUAUGCUAAAUGUUCUCCUACUUUUCUGUGCACAUGCGCAGUUCAUAAAUGUUUGGUAGUGGGGGCAAUUUCCGAGGUCUAUUCUCUUACUGGGACUACAAUACUAUUAAUUUGAUAAAAACAAUUUUUCUAUUCAUGGAGCGUUAUCUUUUCACUCAUAAUGUUCAUAAGUAUUUGGUUAUUUGUCUUAUUUAAAAUAUAGUGCUGCCAGAACCUGCGAUAUUUUUACCCCUUUCCGAGCGCCGUGCGCGCGGUGCACACACUCAAUUAUGUCUAUUGGUGUGUCAGGAAACCGAAAGAAGCCGAGAGAAACCGAGCGCUGUAGACAAGCGGAGGAGAAAUAUUGCUCCCACCAUGCGUCGUUUCAUACCCGCUCAGAGUUGCGUGAUCUGCACUUGAAUUUGAUUUUUUUUUUUUUUUAUUAUUUUGUAACGUAAUAAAUUUUUAAAUAUUUAUUUGUUCAAAUUUUUUAAUCAACUGAUAAUUAAAAAUUUUUUGAACAAAUUUAAA